rnacentral:lncRNA from 1 species
UCCCUUCCUCUCUUUCUCCCUCCUUUUCUCCCUCUCUUUCUCCUUUCUCCCCCCCAAACAUUGAGCAGAUCUUUGUCGUUCCCCACACUGUCACGGUCUCGUUCUUGGUCACUCUCCCACUCCGGCUCACACUCCCGCUCCCACUCCGGCUCACACUCCCGCUCCCACUCCGGCUCACACUCCCGCUCCCGCUGUUGCUCACACUCAGGCUCCCAUUCUCGCCGUUGUUGUUGCUGUUGGUCUUGGCUUUUCUUCCAACUAACAGUCACGCCCGAACUUGCU